UUAGCGUAAACACAAUGAUUAACUACAAAAAAAAAUGUUGUAAAUUAGUACGGAUGACACAAUACCAAUAACAUAUUAAUUUAACUACAAUAGGCGAGAGUCAUUUGCGGGUUGGAAAAAUGUUAAUAUGGAGAACAUGUUCUCAGUACAUAUAGGGUCAUCACAUAUCUCAGCCACGCGCAACCCUUCUUCUAAUUCUCCUUUUCCUCAUUUUCAAAGUCCAUUUUCUCUCUCCUCUACAAUCUCCCUCUCUCACUAAAGAACUUCAGCUCUAUCUCUUACCAAAAUCUCCAUUUCCAGGUCUAAAUCUCUCAAUAAAUUCAGUGUUUUUCUUUAUUUCUUAAGUGGACGUUUUCAAGUUGGCCUGCUAUUUCAAGCCUCAAGUGCUAUACACGUACAAUGUCAAUCGACAAGAGUUGGAUUAAUUUGACAGAUCAAUUGUUUGGUGAGUAUGAAGCUGGUGUGAUGGAUUUUCUUGAGAGAGCUAAGCAGUGCAUCGAUUAAAGGGGAUUGGUGAAAUUUCCUUGCAGGAGGUGUGUGAACGUUGAAUCUCAAACGAUUGAUGUAUUAGAAAAUCAUCUCUGGGUGUGUUGUAAAUGGAGUUAGAUUUUUGUGUUAUGAGAGGGACAAGAAUCACAAAACUCAAAAUAGUGGGGUCUCAAUAGCAGGAGUUGAAAAUAAUACUUAUUACGGCCAGUUGGAAGAAGUUUUAGUGAUGUCAUAUCUUUCUGGUUCUUCUGUUAUAUUAUUUAAGUGCAAAUGAUUUGACUCUAAUCGGUCUUCAAGAUUAAAGUCUGAGCAAAACAUAACUAGUAUUAACACUAGUUUGGAGGCGUCCAAAGAUGAUAAAUUCAUCUUACAAACUCAAACUAACUAAGUUUUCUACAUUGACGACAUUAAAAAAUAAAUCUCACUGGAAAGUCGUCCAAGAAGUGCAUCACAGAAAUGUGUCAGACAUCCCAUUCGUUGAAGAACAACUGGAGGACGUAGAAGUAGAUGUUAUGCAUGACACUAGUUCACCUCAUUUCUUAUUAUUUAGUAUAAAUGUAAUUUUAAUAUCUAUAUUUAUAAGAUAUGGCUUAUGUUAUUGCUCAAUCUCACGGGGGUGAUGGUGGAGGAUGCGAUCCUCCAUGUGGACCAUCAGAUAUCCCACCUGAUUGUGGACGAGCGUGGACGCCACAAGGGAUUGAACACUCGAGAAAAAAAGGGAAGAGAGGGGCGUCCUCUCCCACUCGAGUGGGACAUGAGGGGGAGAACAUAUAAAGAGAUCGGAGAUUACAACUCAAAAUUUCUCAAGAGAGCUAGGAUUAUUACUUGCCGACAAUACGCUUCUUCAGAUAGUACACAAGUACCAAAGACCUCCAAACAAAUAAUACUUGCACAUCUGGAGUAUGAUUUGUUUGAUAUCGGGCGUACACGGUAUGGGCCAGGGCAUACGUUUGGGAUCUUCAGAGGCAUUGAUACAUCAUGUGCCAAAAAGUAUUUUGAUUUGGAAGCACAAUAUUAAGGAGCAUUUAACGAAUAACGAGCUGGGAAAUCAUUAUGGUGGCUGUAUAGAUGCGCAGUGGCAGAAAGUCAUUAAGUUUUCCUGACACCAAGAUGUGAUAAUAUUAUCUUUUUUUUAACUUAACUGUCUAAAUUUAAUUUAUUACUAACUCUAACUUUUUGCAGAAACAUUCUGAGGUCAACAAGAGAAAUAUGAAGAAACUGAAAGAGCCCAGCUAUGGAGGUUCUCAGUCUAUCUCAGUGUUGUGCUACAAAAGAAGAAUGAGCAACUUGCACCGAUCCUGGAUACCUAGAUGGAUACUCAUCACAAAAGUAGGCACAGGGUGGGUGAGUGAAACAACCGAGAAAACCUAUGUAUGUUAAGUUUUUUUUAAAACAUUUUCUAUUUGUUUAAUUGUUUAUUUACAAUACAUAAUUAUAUUAUAUAUUUUAUCAUAGCAACAAUUGUGUGCAUAUUAGGACUUAUAUAUGAGUUUUUGUUUCAUAGACUAUUAUAUUUCCAUCUUUAAGACAACUCUUUUUUUUUUUUU